rnacentral:rRNA from 1 species
UACAGAGGUCCCAAGCGUUGUUCGGAUUCAUUGGGCGUAAGGGUGCGUAGGCGGCGCGGUAAGUCGGGUGUGAAAUCUCGGAGCUUAACUCCGAAACUGCAUUCGAUACUGCCGUGCUUGAGGACUGGAGAGGAGACUGGAAUUUACGGUGUAGCGGUGAAAUGCGUAGAUAUCGUAAGGAAGACCAGUGGCGAAGGCGGGUCUCUGGACAGUUCCUGACGCUGAGGCACGAAGGCCAGGGGAGCAAACGGG